rnacentral:rRNA from 1 species
GAAUCGCUAUGGAAUCUACAAUGCCCAGCAAAAAUCAAGAUAUUUAUUUGGAGAGCAUUGCAAAGCGCAAUCCCAUGUCGCGCCAUACUCGCAGCAAAAUAUAUGAAGGUUAAAACAGGUUGCCCAGCUUGCAACAGAGGACCUGAGAGUAUUAUGCAGCUACUCUUCCAAUGCAAGAAAGCUGUCGAAGUUUGGCAAUUGUUGAGAUUACAUGACAUUAUCAAAAAAGCUUGUUGUGUGAGUAGGUUUGAUGAAGUCGUGAUUGAGCAUAUUUUGUGUCUUCGGGACUCGGACAUCCAUGUACUUGGGCUGCCUAAUCCGGGGGAGACAAUAGCAACUAGUGCCUGGUAUUUGUGGUUCGAGCGGAGGAAACUAACACAUGGUGAGAAAACACAAACUGCAGCCCAAAUUCUAUUGGCAGUAAGGGGACUAGCAGCGAACUUUGUUAUAGCAUGUAAGCCCAAAGCGAAGAGGAGAGUGAUGGCUUGGUCUAAGCCCCAGUCGGGAUAUAUGAAUAUUAAUGUAGAUGCUGGGUUUGACCAUGCCAAUCUGAAUGGUACGGUUGGUGUGCAAUUCUCCGAGAUGAUAAUGACAAAUUUAUAG